rnacentral:rRNA from 1 species
AUACGGAGGGGGUUAGCGUUGUUCGGAAUUACUGGGCGUAAAGCGCACGUAGGCGGACUGGAAAGUUGGGGGUGAAAUCCCGGGGCUCAACCCCGGAACUGCCUCCAAAACUUCCAAUCUAGAGAUCGAGAGAGGUGAGUGGAAUUCCAAGCGUAGAGGUGAAAUUCGUAGAUAUUUGGAGGAACACCAGUGGCGAAGGCGGCUCACUGGCUCGAUACUGACGCUGAGGUGCGAAAGCGUGGGGAGCAAACAGGAUUAGAAACCCCGGUAGUCC